GAUAGAAUGUUUCCUCUUAUAACUCAUAGUGAAUAUGACUGGACAAUGAAACUAUUUUGUAAUUUCUUUCCUGAAAGAUAAAGGCGUUAGAACAUAGAAUCUUUCAUUGAUUCUACAGAAUCUUAAGACUCCUUCAGAGAUGGCAGUCAUUCGUACCGUGCUGAACAUCAUGUUGUCACGGUCAGAAUCAGAACUAAAUUGAUUAAGGUUCUGAAACAGUUUGGCACUCUUGGGCACUUAUUCUGAUAAGAAAGCUGAUGAGACAGGGUAAUGAAAAGAGGCUGCAAGAAAUGACCAUUCAUGCAUUCAGCCAACAUUUAGGCCACCCUCCUGUAUUCCAGGCACUGUACGUGGCACUGAGAAUGCAAAGCAAAACGAGUCAUGGUCUACUGGCGGGAGCCUUCUCAGCGGAGAAAAGAUCAACAAGAAAAGUGCCUGCUGGAGACCUCUCCUAGGGCAUAAACCAAUAUAGAGGUGGGGCAGCUACGUCAGCCUGAGGUGUCCUUAGGCAGAACAGAAAGUGAGAAUCAGAGCAGUAUCUCAUUUCUGAACACCUGGAUUGUAGCUUUCCCUGGACUGACUGUCAAAGGAGGUGGUUUUAAAAAGCAAGCCAAACAGGUUUCCGUCCUUUAGGAAGACCCUGGAACGUGCCAGUUGAUUCUGACAAUUUCUCAUGAACAGAAACACCUAGGAAGGGAGAACUGGUGAGUCUUUUCAAGAAGAGGAAGUCCCUCAAAAGGGGCUGUGUUUCGCAAACGGCACCCCAAAAGGGCUGAAAUACUUCGAUCUGGAGGAAAAAGACUCAGGCACUGAGGGAAGGGGAGGGUGCACAUCUGGGGUAAUUUCAAGGCUUUUUCCGUGUUAUCUGAGGUGGCAACAAGUAAAGAUUUGUUCGUUUUAUUAUUUUUUUAAUUUUUAAAGGUGUUCUUUUCCCCCCUUUUCCCCCUCCCGGCCACUCCGGUUUGUGUUUGCCACAAGACUCAUAAUUCCUUUAGAAAGUGGAGUCGAAUUCAUAAAAGUGAUGGGGGGAGAGCGCGGAGAGGGAAGGCUGGGAGCCCCAGGGAGUCUUCACUACCUACACUGCCGCUCAGCUCCCGGCGCGAGUGGAGGUCGGUGUGGGGAGACGCGACUCCUGCCCGGGAUGGCUGACACUCUGCGAGCCCCGGCGGCCCGCGGCCGGGCCGGGUGACUAGGCGGAGGGCGCGGAGGGUCCGCGGCGGGCGGGUGGCGCUGCAGCAGCCUGGGCACGGCUGCCGCCGCCCGCGGGCGAGAGUGUGCACGGGUGUGGAAGGCCGGAGUGCGGGCCGUGAGGGGUGUGCGCGCUUGAGCCGGAGCGGGGCUCGCCCCUCGUCGGCUCCCGCCGCCCAGCCGGUGAUCGCUCUCCGGCCGUCCCCGGCACCCUCGGCCCCCCACGGCGGUUGGUCCGGGCGGGGGAAGGAGAAAGUGAGACUCGGUGUCAUCACCAAUCCAUCGCCAGAAGGGGAGGUAAUUGGAAUCCAGCAGCGGCGAGCAGCAGCUGGGCAGUCACAUCUGGAAAUGGAAAGCCGACCUCCACCUCCUCCUCCUCCUUCUCCUCCUCUCACCCAGGAUCACUUCCGAAACCAGUUGGCCUUCAGCCCCUGCCUCGGCCAGAGGUUUCAUUUUUAACUGAAUAUUUACGAAAGCUGAAAGCGUGCGAGGGGGGUGGGGUGGAAAUAGCGGCUGCUUCUUUUCCAAGGACUUAUUUAAUGGGGAUGUGUUCAAGGCAAGACCGAAUUCAGAAGGAUAUCGACGUCGUGAUCCAGAAGUCCAGAGCUGAGGACUGCCUGUUUGCAGGUGAGUUCUUGCUUUUCCAGAACCUCGGACCCCGCGCCCCCUUCCCAGUUCUCUGACCGCGACGUGUGUGGCUGGGGGUGGGGUGGAGGGUUUGCACGUCCGCAUUCCGGGGUUCAUUUGGCAACAGCUGCUGCAACGAACACGGGAGCCAAAAGCCAGAGGGGGUGCCAGCCUCGCCCCUUCCCCUCCCCCCACCCCCAAGUCUGGGGCAGCUACCAGCUUUGAGGGCAGAACCCGCGUGGCCCGAGCGGGGGUCUAGGCGAAGGGGCAGUGCGUGGUAUUUCCAGCCCCGCGUAGUGCCCGAAGCCUGCAAGCACGCCUCCUGGGUUCCAGCAGCGGCGGCAGAGCGGGGUUGGUUGGACCCGCCAGGUUUGCGUAAUGGGCUGAGCGGCGGCGGCCGGGAAUGGAGCUUGCUGCGCUGCGCUCGUAAGCUGCGCCCGGCGCCGAAGACCCCCGGGGGGCAGCGCUCGGCCCAUCUCCGGCCCCUUCGGCUCCAUCUAGUCCCCUCCGACUGGCAAAGAGAAGGGAUUCCUCGGAUUCCCAAGGCACCCAGCGCCCCUGCCUGGGGGGUCGCCUUUCGUCCAUUUUGCUCCCCCGGGAGAGAGAUCGGAUUUUGCGUUCGCUGCCGCGAGCCCGGCGGGGCUGCUUCCGGCCUCCCCGACCGGGAAAUUCCCGCCGUUGCCAUGGCACCCGGCACUUGCUGCCGGGGGCGGCCUGCCGCUGCACCCAGUCGGGGGCGCGCCGCAUCCCCUGGGACGCUGCGCGGAGAGACCUCGCCGCCCUCUAGCCCUCGCCUCCCGCCCGGCCAGGCCUCCCCUGACUCCACCAAAUGGAGGGCCCAAGUCCUGAUCGGGGUUAAAACAAAUCCACUCCAGGGGUAGCUUUUGACAGGACUUUCUGUUUCAGAUUUCAGAUACUCAGACUCCACCUUUACUUUUACCUAUGUUGGCGGCCCCAGAAGGUAUUUAUGGGUGUAGAGUUGCUUCAUUUCCUGUUCACACUCUUGUGUUUCCUUUGUUCUUAGCGUGUUCCGUGUUCGGGUAUUUUGGUUGCUUGUUUGAUUACUGUGGCUUUUCUUUACCUACAACCCAAGCCUGACGUCCCUCGGUUUUAAAUAGCAGGGGGAGGGGAAUCAAUGUUUGAUUCAGGUGUUUCGAAGACCACGCCACAGGCGAUGAGCAGAACUCUUCAUGUUGAAACGGUUCUGCUACAGUACUAGAUUGCUCUCAGGCGAUUUGGGGUUGAUACAGGCAAGCCGGUGCAAAACUGGAAUACUGGAUAUGAAGUGAAAUGUAUAAAAGACAUAAAAUGUCACAAAAUAGUUUGAUCACAAGUGUUGAUUUUCCUGGUGAGUUGGGGCUGCGUGUUUCCAUGUUUUCUGAAGGUUCACAUAAACAUGCAGCCUGCCAAUUCUCUGUAUAUUUUUUUUUUCAAUGAGUGGUAUUUCGGUUUUCACGUUUAGUUGUAAGACAGAAAUUGGAGACUUAUAUGUAGCUGGAGUGGAUGACUUCUUUCUUUUGGGGGAAGAAUGAGAGAUGCACAUUUCGUUAGUAAAUUGUGAACAACUUGAAACAAACCCAAAUCCAAUUGUGAAUUUAAGAAGUAGAGUUAAAAUGAAAGGUAGCCAUUCAAAUACUAUGCCUUGCUGCCUUCACUUAUUAAGUUAGGAUUUUCUUCCUUUUAGCCCUUUAGGGAUACAGUAGUUUAAAAGAGCAGUAGCCACAUAUGAAAGGAUCAGAUUUAGCUUAGAGGGAAUUCCUUAGACCAGCCCUGCUGUUAAGACUUGACAUUCAAUAUUGUUUGAUCACAUUCCAAAAUAUAGCUUAGCUAAUGGCAACAUUUGUAAACAUAUAAAUUGCAAAAGAAGCUUUCUUGUGUACAUACAUUUUUAAAAGCUUGAAAUUGAUGUGAACUUUUAAAAACACGUAGGAUCUGUAUUACAUUCUACAUCUCAAAACAAAUUUAAUUAAAGUGAAUAUCAUUCCAGUAUAUACAAUAUGCCUAAGACCCAGAAUUGGCACACUGAUUUACUAGUUGAAAAUAUAACAGUAUUCACCAAACUUCAAUGUAUACUUUUUGGAGAGAAUGAAAUUACAGUAUUUCUUAAUUUACUGUAAUGUCAUCUUUGUAAUUAUGAAUUAACAAUUCAAUGAGAGGAGACUUGGUUGAUUAAAUUAAUGCUGGUCCUACACAUUAUAUCUAAAGGAUCUUCGUAUAUGACUACUAUCUUCUUGGAUUAUUUUAACAGUUAAAAUAUACAAAGUGGCCCAUUAAAAACAGAGUUGACUUUUCACCAUUGCUGUUUUUCUGGUGAGACAUGUGGAAAGGAAGGACAGGUGGACUUUUCAACUAACUAGCUCUCUGAUUUUUAAUAAGAUACCUCAGUUCUUUUGGCCUCAGUUUACUUAUCUGUACAAAGGGUAAGUCAUAUGCUUAAUCACUAAGAUCUGUUAGAUACUGCAGUUAAGAUUCUUUAUCAACAAAUUACUGAACUCUAGUGUUAACAUAGCUAGAGGUGGAAAAGGAAGCAAGACCAGGUGUUGGGAUGAAUAAUUAACUAAUCGAGAUAACAUCAGUUUUCACCAUAGGAACAAGUACCAUCGUUGCUCUUAAAGUAAGAGAUGUUUCCUAUUUUAUGUAAUUUUACUAAGGGAUAAUGUUUUCUUUUGUCACUGAUUUAAAUGUACCUGGAUGUUUCUCAGCCAUGUGGCUAAGAUCGAACACAAGUAAUACCUGGGCCUUUUAUAUCUAAUCUAAUGUAGACCAGCCUGUUAAAAGAGAAAGACAAUUGGUUAAACUGCUGAUGUGUUGCUUUGUCUUCUCAAAAGCUUGUUCUAUAAUACAAUAUGUAAAAAGUUGUUACAGUGUAGUAACCGUAGAUAAUCCCUUUAUGAUUUGUACCUAAUGACGAAGACCUUUUAUUUUCUGAAAAUAACGUGUUUGUUUUCAUUACCGACAUUAGAAGCCAAUAUUUAUUAAUCUAUUUCUCAUCCUGACAUUUCAGUCAGACUCUUAAAAUAAUCUUGCUGUGUUUUGAUUUAAUGUGCUUAUCAACUUAUAAUAUUGAAUUAAUGUUAAUAGUGUCAUUUUAGGUGAACUAGACUUCAUUGAAGGAGGUGGGAGCCUUAUGGAGAGAGAGUAUAUGAUUAUCUCUAUUUGUAUUUAAUUACCAUUUCAUCUAACCAUUCAGAACAUAUUUCAAGAAUAAUUUUAAUUCAAGUUGUAGAUAAAACUUACUAUACCAUUUUCAUUUUGACGCUUUCCGAGAAUGAGAUACACGGUAUUUUAAAGACAAAGAUUGAUCUUACAUGUUACUAUUAAAAAAAACACGAUAAUUUUGUUCUAUAUUUAUACUUUUAAUUUUUCUGUGGAUAAUAAGAAAUGCCAAGAGUCGAUUGUGUCCAUGCUGGCAAGUGGCCUAAUAAAUUGUCCUUUUAUUUGGUGGUCCUCAGAGUGGCAGUUAACAUCUUGCUAUUCUGCCUUGUGGACUUGAGGUGGAAAGGUUCAUGGAAUUAUAUCCUUGCUUUUGGAUGUGCAAACUGAGGCUCAGAGAGUUUAAGACACAUAGUCACUUUCACCAAUUAAAUGAUGAAGCUGCCAUGUAAACGUAUUUCAUCACACUCCCGAGACCUUCUUCUCCAGUAGUGUUUUCAAGCUUUUUGAGCAUGCAGACACUACCAAUCAAAAAAUUAUGUAGAGACAUACUUGAGAGUUACAGUUUAAAGAAAAACAAGGUGUAAUUAUUUGGUUAUUAGUAGCAUUUACAUAUGCUUGAAAACUUCUGCUAUAUAUACAGUAAGAUUAAUUUAUUCUAACAAUGAUCUUGAUAAUCCCCCUGAUUCCCAGACUCCUUGGAAUAGCUCCACAGCUAUCAGUGGUUCUGCCACAGGUUCAGAGCCUUCCCAGUACUGCCUUCUUAUUUGAGAGGUGUGCUAAGAGCUAUAAAGCAGAGGCUUCAAUUGUACACAAUUGGGAAGUUUAGGCAAAAGUCAUUUCUUCCCUAUAUUUUGUCAUGCUUAUCUCCUGUCUCUUUCUGUUUUACAGAUUAGCAAUAAACUCCUUAAAACCCAAAGGUUUGGGCUUCUGUUCCUUUCACUUGCAGUCAGACAUGGAGUUAGUGGUAGAAGAAACAGAAGGGGUAACCUGCAUGGUGACAGCUACUGAGGGGAUGGAUAGGAAAGCAGGCUGAGUCCCUGGGGCCAGUGGUUACCAAAGCCAAGGAGAGAGCAAGGGGAGCCCAGUGGGCCUGGCCAUGGACUGCUCUGGAAUUCCGAGUGUGAACUUUCAGCCAAGAAGGAGUGAAGGCAAUUUUGAAGGCAUGACUACGACCUGCUCUGGCCACAAGAGCUAAGAGUUGCCAGGUGUGGUGGCUCAAACACUUUGAGAUGCCAAUCCCAACACUUUGAGAGGCCAAGGCAGGAGGAUUGCUUGAGGCUAGGAGCUUGAAACCAGCCUGGGCAACACAGUGAGACCCCAUCUCUACAAAAAAUAAAAAAACAGGCCAGGCGCAGUGGCACUUAGGGAGGCCAAGGUGGGUGGAUCACCUGAGGUCAGGAGUUCGAGACCAGCCUGACCAACAUGGAGAAACCCCGUCUCUACAAAAAAUACAAAGUUUGCCAGUGUGGUGGCACAUGCCUGUUAUCCCAGCUACUCAGGAGGCUGAGGCAGGAGAAUCGCUUGAACCCGAAAGGCAGAGGUUGCAGUGAGUGGAGAUCACGCCAUUGCACUCCAGCCUGCGCAACAAGAGUGAAACUCCAUCUCAAAUAAAUAAAUAAAAUAAAGUUUUAAAAAGUCAAAAUUAUCCAGGCGUGAUGGUAUGUUCUUGUAGUCCCAGCUACUCAGGAAGCUGAGGUGGGGGAUCACUUGAAUCCGGGAGGUCGAGGCUGCAGUGAGCCAAGAUUGUGCCACUGCACUCAAGUCUGGAUGACAGAGCAAGACCAUGUCUAAAAAAAAAAAAAUAAUAAACAAAACCAAAAACCAAGAGUCCACAGUGAUACCAUGAAUGCCCAUGGCUGCAACAAUAAUGCCUUGACCAGAAGUAGGGGGAUAAGGGAAAAGAUAGAGCCAACAUGAACCCCGAUUGACCCUCCCUUGCUCCAUCCAUGACAGAAAGCCUCCUAUUUCUGAAUUCACCAGGCUCAUGCUGCCUCCAGGACUUUGCAUGGGUAGCAGCAUUAGCCUAGAAUUUCACUUCUCUUUAAUUCCCACCCAUCUCUCACUUAACUAAUCCCAACUCACCCAUAAGGAUCUAAGUCAGAUAUUACCUACUAAAAGAAACCUAUCUGGCCCUAAUGCCUGGGCAAGGGCUUCUCCUGAAUGCUUCCACAGCACUGCGGACCUACUCUUAUUGUGGCCCAUUUCACAGUAUAUUGGGAUUAUCUGUUUGACUCUCUCCCCAGUAGAUCUGGAGUUCCUUAACAACAGGAAGAAUCUUCUUUACUUUUCUUCCAAAAACAGAAAUCGCUUUACUGUUUUUUGUUUGUGUUGCUGUUGCUUCAAUGGUCAUAAAAGUACUACAUGUGCCUGUUCCAGUUGUUCUCUUUCUCAGUGGAGGGCAUAACCUAGUAGUUGACCAAGCAAGAAAACUUGACAUCAUUUAUUCGUUCAAAACAAACAAAAAAGAAGAAAAGAAAAGGGCAUGCCUACUAUGUACCAGGCAUUAUGCUAAUCACUGUAUCUAGAAGUGAAAAGACAACCACUGUCCCUGCUAUAGUGAGCUCAUGUUCUAACAGAAAAGGCAGACUUUGAACAAAUAACUCACGUUAUUGAAGAGAGAGGUGAAGGUAGUCUGGAAGUUUACGACAAGGUGACAGUGGGUAGGAUGUGAGUGAAGAGAUGAAUUGGUGAUCAGUCAUCUUUGGGUUUCUUCAGCCUCACUGGUUCUACAUCCAGUCAAUGGCUUAGCUCUAUCAAUUCUGCCUCUGAAAUUUCUUUCACCUGUCCAUUUCUCUAAUUUUUAUACUGGC
rnacentral:lncRNA from 1 species